rnacentral:rRNA from 1 species
GACGAACGCUGGCGGCGUGCCUAAUACAUGCAAGUCGAGCGGACAGAAGGGAGCUUGCUCCCGGAAGUUAGCGGCGGACGGGUGAGUAACACGUGGGCAACCUACCCUGUAGAUCGGGAUAACAUCGAGAAAUCGGUGCUAAUACCGGAUAAUCAUUUGAAGUGCAUGCUUCGAAUGUAAAAGAUGGCUCCGGCUAUCACUACGGGAUGGGCCCGCGGCGCAUUAGCUAGUUGGUAAGGUAAUGGCUUACCAAGGCAACGAUGAGUAGCCGACCUGAGAGGGUGAUCGGCCACACGGGGACUGAGACACGGCCCAGACUCCUACGGGAGGCAGCAGUAGGGAAUCUUCCGCAAUGGACGAAAGUCUGACGGAGCAACGCCGCGUGAGUGAUGAGGGUUUUCGGAUCGUAAAGCUCUGUUGUUAGGGAAGAACAAGUGCCGUUUGAAUAAGGCGGCACCUUGACGGUACCUAACCAGAAAGCCACGGCUAACUACGUGCCAGCCGCCGCCGUAACAC